rnacentral:rRNA from 1 species
UACGUAGGGUGCGAGCGUUGUCCGGAAUUAUUGGGCGUAAAGAGCUCGUAGGCGGUCUGUCGCGUCUGCUGUGAAAACUCAGGGCUUAACCCUGAGCUUGCAGUGGGUACGGGCAGACUAGAGUGCGGUAGGGGAGACUGGAAUUCCUGGUGUAGCGGUGAAAUGCGCAGAUAUCAGGAGGAACACCGGUGGCGAAGGCGGGUCUCUGGGCCGAUACUGACGCUGGAGGAAGCGAAAGCGUGGGGAGCAAACAGG